CACACUGGGUGGAAAACCAAAAAAAGAGAGAAAAGCUUAUUACCCCCUCACCAUUUUCUCUUCUUGUGUAAUCUAAAAGAAAACAAAAUUCACUGGUCACAACAACCCCCAACUAAUGAAACAGCACAGCAAAGCAACAGGCCGGCGAAGAAGGAUAAUCUAGAAGGAUAUGGAGACAAGAAGACAUGGCUAAUGAUGAAGAAAGCGGAAAUAUGAUUGUUUGAGUUUUGAUUGACGCUUUUUGUCGAACAGGUGGAGUGCGUUUUGGGUUUUAAUCGAAAUACACAUGGAUCCAAUGAGAAUGUAUGUGGCUUCGGGUUCUGUGAGGAGCUACUCUUCUAUUUUUAUCUAUUUCAACAUUCAUAUUAAAAUUCGAUACAUAUUUUAAUAUUUAUAUUAAAAUUUAA